UUCGUUGGUGGCGCACCUCCCUUCCGCGGGCGGUAUAAUCGCGCAUACCUGUCAUUUGACACUGCAGAUUUCCUAAGCCCGCAUCGCAUGCGGGCUUUUUUAU
rnacentral:sRNA from 1 species